AAGUAUUGCAAUUUUAGAUUUGAAAAACUUAACUUCACAAUUCAGCAAUACGUGGUGUGAUUUCUACCAAAAGGGUCCAUGACCCGGAUGCAAACCAAUUCCCAAAUCAGCUCUGUCGAAACCCUAGGAUGUUGUAAUCCUCGCCAUUUAUAUCCCAUUCGGGUUGGUUACAUUCCUUAGACCCAAAUGUAUUGCUCUUUCAAUUUCAGCUUCGAUUUCUAUCUAGGUAUUGCAAUUUUAGGGGUAAAUAAAUUUUUUUUUUGUAGGAAUCAAGAAUGUGGAAAAGAUCCCAUUAUAUAAUUUUGGAAAUCCUUUAUUGCAAUUUUCUACAUUGUAUAGAGACAGGCACAAAACAUUCUGCAAUAGCAAACUUACAUGGCCCUUCUCUUCAGUAAACAAUCAUUUUCUUUCUUUUGUUUCAUCUCAGUUUUGUAUUAUUAAACUUUCACAUUUUUGUCUAUGUAGUUGUUUGGUUACUUAAUAGUGCUUAUAUUUGGUGCACAGGGUGUAAAGCUGAAAAGGCAAAGGGACACAAUACAGUUUGUAAUUUCAAAGAAGAUAAAAUGGACAUGAAAAAGCAAAUAUAGAUGCGAGCGGAGCCCUCUACAACAGAUGAUACAAGGAGAAAAUUAAUGCAGAUUAUUGCAGCAGAUAAGAUUCCACUGUUAUCUUCUGACUGAUACUUUUUUAUUUCUUGUUUCAUGACAUUUCUUAUCUUCCUACGUAUUUCAUUUGAUAACAAUUAGUAUUUCUUUUUCAUGGCAUUUAUUCAAAUAAAGAGAUAAUUGAUGUUUCUUGAUAUACUCUAAGAUCUGAUUAGAUGCUCAUUUGGCCUUUUAUCUGGCUAUUCCUUUGGUGAACAAAUAAGAAUCAUUAAAUAGACUAGUGUGUUUUUUUAUAAAGGAGAUAGACUAGCGUCAAUGUACAAGGAGAUUACGUAGGCGAAUAUGGACUUUCAGUUUCCUGGUUGGGCACUACGCAAAAUGGGAGGUAAAUAGAAUUAAAAAUAGGGUAUCUGAUCCAGUCCUGUCUAGAAAAUUGUUGGCCAGAUCAGGAAGUAUAAUCUCACAUAAAAUUCUGGAUAACUAAUUUACUAUUGCUAAUUUAGUUUCCGCAUAACUAGUACAACAUUUGGUCCCCAGUGUAAAAAUAUGCAUUGCAAGUACAUCUUCUGUUGUGGUACUAAAAUAUGUAUAGCUAAUACCAACAUAAUUUAUGCGUGAAUUGAUGUAUUAUCUUGUGCGGGAUAGGAUAUGGAAAAAUAAUAAUGUAUUAGUGAUAUUUGGAUAAGAGUAUCUAGAAGCAUAAACAAUGCUUAUCCCUUCAUAACAAUUAUUCACCUCAUAACAAUCUCGACAUUGUCAUUCACCGCAUGAAAAUCCUUUAUCAUGAUCCCUGCAUAAAUUAGUCUGUGAACCAAAUGACCUCUCAAGGUAUGAAUUGUGUAUGCCUAUUUCCUAUACGAAGACCUUGAAGACAUGCAACAAGUGGCAGUAAAGGUGACAUGUUUCUUGGACGGAUGUCUCUCCAACUCUUUUAAACCAAGUAAUAUCAUAUUUAUAUUAGGAACUAUUCUUUUCAUGAGAAUUGCUAUGUAUGCCAAAAAUGUGGUGGUCGGACUUUGUUAUGGUCUUAUCUAUCUUUCUCACAAACCAAGUGCAAUGACGGCUUACUCUUUGAGGAGAUAUCGGCAUAUCGCAGUGUCAACCAGGUUGUACUCUUUGCUUGUUCUCUUGUCUGAGCCUAUUGUUUGUGAUUUUUUUACCCUUCAUAGGUGGUAUUAUUUGCUAUAGGGUGUAAAUAGGUAAUCUAUUGAUCUAUUUUCUUGUGAAUUUGUACUCCUGAUGUUAAGCCAAAUUUACGAUACUGGUAGCUGGUAGUUUCCAUUCAUUACAUUUGAAAUCCUUAAUGACCGUCGACUUAGCUUGUAGAGUCACAUUAAUUAGGCACUCGUAUGAUAGUUAAAAGUAUAUUAAUUCAGCCACAAUCAAUCUAGGAGGCUGCUAUCAUCUGUCACUCUUAAACAAGAAUAGAGAGAAUCACCUUUCUAGAGAUCACAUGCUUUAUAUCGUGAUUUUGGUGUCAAAAGUAGUAUUGGAAAGAUGUAGUUUUAGAUGUAGAAAUAAAUGGUAGCUUAAUAAUUCAGCAAUGUACGUGCAGUUGUAAAGAUGGAAGAUAUGACCGUAUCUGCAUGCUACUUUGUCCCACAUCGUCUCAAAAGCAAGAAUUAAUUCCUUCGUUAUACCUAUUUAGCGGUCUCUAAUUAUGAACUUUUACACAUAGCUUGUGCGGGCCCUUGAUGGCUCACAUCACCUUGUAGUAAGGUCCCUUCCAAGAGUUGCAGUAUGCUGGAAAUCUUGUCCGUGAAUUUGCUGGCACCUAUGGAUUCAGGAGGUAGCUCACAUUCACAACUGAGCAUUUGCACAUGAAGCACCAGCUGACAGCUAACAUAUGUAAUUCUGCGCUUUCUCAUUUUCCCGGCUGUCAGCACCGCACCCGAGUUUCAAGCACCAAUCUGAUAAACAGACCUUUCUUGGAGAUUGAAGCAAGAUAAAAUUUGGCUACUGGCGCAGAAUGAAGUAAACACCAAGCUGAAAAACACACCUUUCUAAAUGUAGAAUGCUGCACCAGAUUGUUAAGGUGUACUGUUAAAAAAUUGUUAUGGUCAUGUUCUUUUUUGUUUGGUAACUCAUUUUCUUUUCUUGUUUGGAGAUUGAAGCAAGACAAUAAUUGGCUAAUGGCGCAGUAUGCGUGCAUAUUAUAUACUUCUUUUGCUGAUUUGGCAUAUCUAUUGAAGUUUUCUUAUGGAUGGA